UAGGGAAUCUUCCGCAAUGGGCGAAAGCCUGACGGAGCAACGCCGCGUGAGUGAUGAAGGUCUUCGGAUCGUAAAACUCUGUUAUUAGGGAAGAACAAAUGUGUAAGUAACUAUGCACGUCUUGACGGUACCUAAUCAGAAAGCCACGGCUAACUACGUGCCAGCAGCCGCGGUAAUACGUAGGUGGCAAGCGUUAUCCGGAAUUAUUGGGCGUAAAGCGCGCGUAGGCGGUUUUUUAAGUCUGAUGUGAAAGCCCACGGCUCAACCGUGGAGGGUCAUUGGAAGCUGGAAAACUUGGGUGCAGAAGAGGAAAGUGGAAUUCCAUGUGUAGCGGUGAAAUGCGCAGAGAUAUGGAGGAACACCAGUGGCGAAGGCGACUUUCUGGUCUGUAACUGACGCUGAUGUGCGAAAGCGUGGGGAUCAAACAGG
rnacentral:rRNA from 1 species